AGGAGCACAAUGGUAGACUUCCAGAAAGGAGGAGCCAGGAAACAGAGAAGGUCUCUGCCGAAAGACAAUCAUGUCAUCCCAAUACCGGUUUCCACAGAGGUUUCUGCUCUGCAGGUUUUGAAAGACUGGAAGACUUGGGUCAGGUCCAGAAGAGAUGGGCCGAAGUAUUCAGGCAAGAGUUCGACCUAAAGGAUGAAAGCAGGCAUGG